UACAGAGGUGGCAAGCGUUGUUCGGAAUUACUGGGCGUAAAGGGCGCGUAGGCGGCCAUCUAAGUCAGACGUGAAAUCCCCCGGCUUAACCUGGGAACUGCGUCUGAUACUGGAAGGCUUGAGUAUGGGAGAGGGAUGUAGAAUUCCAGGCGUAGCGGUGAAAUGUGUAGAUAUCUGGAGGAAUACCGGUGGCGAAGGCGGCAUCCUGGACCAUUACUGACGCUGAGGCGCGAAAGCUAGGGGAGCAAACAGG
rnacentral:rRNA from 1 species